CAUUUAAAAAAGAUCCCGGUAAUGCAGCGUUGUACAUAAAUUAAUCUGCUCCUACUAUACUCACAGAACACUUAUGUCCUUCUGUCCCUUUUUACCUUUAGCCGUGCCAGAGGAGUGCCACCAGCACAUACAGGAACUGUGGUACCUGCUGCAGGAACCAACACCUCCGCUGAUGCCAUGGUUUGGAGCUCUGUGACCAUAGACUCUGGUCUACUCAGCUGGAGAGAGACUCAACUGGAUAAUACCUUUGUCUUCUCUGAUGAUUUCACUGAAAGGGCAGAAAUACUGCAGCCACAACAUUUAGUGGAUAUCUGACAAAACCCCGGCCACUUCUGUUCUCCAGCGUCAGCAGAGCAGUAGAAGUUGUGAGCCCUUUAUUCAUUUUGGCACUUUUUUAUUACACUGGAUUCCUUCUUUCCCCCCAGGCGAUUUCUAGUAAACUAGAUCCCACAAAUGUGUUACAGUGUAAAGGAGAAAGAUGAAUUCUGAAUUGGAUUGGUUUGUAGGUUGCUUUCAUUGUAGGAUCUAACGAGCCCCUCUCCAUCCUUUAUUAGCAACUCUGUGCUCUUGUUUAGU
rnacentral:lncRNA from 1 species